CAGUAGCCACGGUAAAACGAAGGGGGCUAGCGUUGCUCGGAAUGACUGGGCGUAAAGGGCGCGUAGGCGGAUUGUUUAGUUAGGCGUGAAAUUCCUGGGCUUAACCUGGGGACUGCGCUUAAUACAGGCAGUCUAGAGUGAGGAAGAGGGUUGUGGAAUUCCCAGUGUAGAGGUGAAAUUCGUAGAUAUUGGGAAGAACACCGGUGGCGAAGGCGGCAACCUGGUCCUUGACUGACGCUGAGGCGCGAAAGCGUGGGGAGCAAACAGGAUUAGAUACCCCAGUAGUCCCUGUCUCUUAUAA
rnacentral:rRNA from 1 species